UGGGGAAUAUUGCACAAUGGGCGAAAGCCUGAUGCAGCGACGCCGCGUGAGGGAUGACGGCCUUCGGGUUGUAAACCUCUUUCAGCAGGGACGAAGCGCAAGUGACGGUACCUGCAGAAGAAGCACCGGCUAACUACGUGCCAGCAGCCGCGGUAAUACGUAGGGUGCAAGCGUUGUCCGGAAUUACUGGGCGUAAAGAGUUCGUAGGCGGUUUGUCGCGUCGUUUGUGAAAACCAGCAGCUCAACUGCUGGCUUGCAGGCGAUACGGGCAGACUUGAGUACUGCAGGGGAGACUGGAAUUCCUGGUGUAGCGGUGAAAUGCGCAGAUAUCAGGAGGAACACCGGUGGCGAAGGCGGGUCUCUGGGCAGUACCUGACGCUGAGGAACGAAAGCGUGGGUAGCGAACAGG
rnacentral:rRNA from 3 species